rnacentral:tRNA from 1 species
GGCCAGAAGGCGGUCAAGGGUAUUUGCGUUUGCUUCAAUUUGACCAGGCCAAUGACAUGGUGCACGUAUCGACGUAU